UACAGAGGGGGCAAGCGUUGUUCGGAAUUACUGGGCGUAAAGGGCUCGUAGGCGGCCAACUAAGUCAGACGUGAAAUCCCUCGGCUUAACCGGGGAACUGCAUCUGAUACUGGAUGGCUUGAGAUUGGGAGAGGGAUGCGGAAUUCCAGGUGUAGCGGUGAAAUGCGUAGAUAUCUGGAGGAAUACCGGUGGCGAAGGCGGCAUCCUGGACCGGCAUUGACGCUGAUGAGCGAAAGCUAGGGGAGCAAACGGG
rnacentral:rRNA from 1 species